GACGAACCUUGCUAACGUUAUUCGGAAUUACUGGGCUUAAAGGGUGCGUAGGCGGUGCAGCAAGUCGGGUGUGAAAUCCCUCAGCUCAACUGAGGAACGGCGCCCGAAACUGCUGUGCUCGAGGAAGAUAGAGGUACGCGGAACUUAGGGUGGAGCGGUGAAAUGCGUUGAUAUCCUAAGGAACACCGGUGGCGAAGGCGGCCCACUGGCUCGAUACUGACGCUGAGGUGCGAAAGCGUGGGGAGCAAACAGG
rnacentral:rRNA from 1 species